AUAUAUAUAUAUAUAAAACAUUUGUUCUAUGGUGUAUUACGAGUUAAAUCCUAGUAAAUAAGUUAAUAAUGAAUGUUAUAAUUAAUUAGUAUUAUAUAAACAAGAGAGAGAAUAAUGGUGGCGACGCUUUAUUUAGCAUAAAUAGAAGGAUUAAUGAGAUACCUUGAAGUAAUUACCUUAAAUGUAGAAGUAGUUAGAGAGGAUUGAAGAUAGUUUAGGAAAAUUUUUUUUUUGGCUUUGCUAUACUAAGAGAGAGGUAUGUAUAUAUAAGAAAAACUUCUACAUUAAAAACAAAUAAAAGAAAAAAGAAAAUAUGCAUUUAUAACUUAUCGGCGUUUUUGUACUGGGCUUCGAAACACAGUCCACUACAUUUAUCUAUCUAAAAAGUUACGUUUUUUUUUUGUGUUUUUUUU
rnacentral:sRNA from 1 species